rnacentral:rRNA from 1 species
CCUACGGGCGGCAUCAGUGGGGAAUAUUGGACAAUGGGGGCAACCCUGAUCCAGCCAUGCCGCGUGUGUGAAGAAGGCCCUCGGGUUGUAAAGCACUUUCAGUGAGGAAGAACGCCUGGUGGUUAAUACCCAUCAGGAAAGACAUCACUCACAGAAGAAGCACCGGCUAACUCCGUGCCAGCAGCCGCGGUAAUACGGAGGGUGCGAGCGUUAAUCGGAAUUACUGGGCGUAAAGCGCGCGUAGGUGGCUUGAUAAGCCGGUUGUGAAAGCCCCGGGCUCAACCUGGGAACGGCAUCCGGAACUGUCAAGCUAGAGUGCAGGAGAGGAAGGUAGAAUUCCCGGUGUAGCGGUGAAAUGCGUAGAGAUCGGGAGGAAUACCAGUGGCGAAGGCGGCCUUCUGGACUGACACUGACACUGAGGUGCGAAAGCGUGGGUAGCAAACAGGAUUAGAUACCCCGGUAGUC